AGGAUCAUCAUUGAAUAAACUUGGAGAGCUGCUGCUGGCUUCUUGGAGCAUGUGCACGCUCUUCAUCUUUACCUUUUCCACCUGUGCACUCUUUGUAGACUUGGAAUAUAUCUCGGGGAAAACUCGGUCAGAGGUUUGCUGUGGGUCAAAGCCAGCUCUCCUUACCCUUCCAGUCUAACACACACACCCUGUAGUAUGUAAAUGAAUGGAAUCACUAGGCUUCGCUGCCUAUAAAAAGUUAUACAACUUUCAGCAACGGAUCUCUUGGCUCUCGCAUCGAUGAAGAACGCAGCGAAAUGCGAUAAGUAAUGUGAAUUGCAGAAUUCAGUGAAUCAUCGAAUCUUUGAACGCACCUUGCGCUCCUUGGUAUUCCGAGGAGCAUGCCUGUUUGAGUGUCAUUAAAUUAUCAACCUCUUCAACUUUUUCAAAGGAGCUGGAUAGGAUUGGAUGUGGGGGCUGGAGGCUUGCAACAAGUCUGCUCUCCUCAAAUGCAUUAGCUGGAACCUUUUUGUGAACCUACAAUAGUGUGAUAAUUAUCUACGCUGUUAUUGUGACACAAUGUAAUAUAUAAAGGCUCUGCUUCCAACAGUCCAUUGACUUGGACACUAAUGACAAUUGACCUCAAAUCAGGUGGACUAC
rnacentral:rRNA from 1 species